rnacentral:tRNA from 1 species
GCGCCCGUAGCUCAGGGGAUAGAGCAAUGGUUUCCUAAACCAUGUGUCGGAUGUUCGAUUCAUCUCGGGCGCGCCA